GCCGGGUGGGUGUCGGUGACCGGGACCUUCGGGGCCAUCACGGACUGGGGGGGCGACGCCGCCCCCGCCCCCGGCCGGGGCCUGGCCCGGGCCCUGCAGUGGGGACCCCUCGCCCGGGCCCUCCACGCCCCCGUGACCGAGGACAGCGACGAGGAGGCGGAGCCAUGACAGGCCACGCCCACCCAAGCCGCGCACAGAGGGGUGGAGCCUGUACAAGCCACGCCCCUACCUGUGCCAUAAACGGACCUGGUGUGGCUGAGGCCACGCCCACAACUGGAACCACGCCCCAAAUGGGCAGAGCCUUUAAAGCCACACCCACCUCAUUAACAGAGCUGGCCACACCCAGUGGGUGGGGCUUAUUUAAACCAGAGUGCCUGAAGCCCUUCCCAGUAUGGGUGGGGCCUUUGGAAGCCCCACCCACUUUUAUUAAAAAUACAAAUGCUGUUCACAGGGGGCUCCACCCACAAAUGAAGCCACUCCCACUGUGGGUGGGGCCUCUCGAGGCCACACCCAGGACCACUCCCGCAGAGGGCGUGGCCAGCAAAACCCCGCCCCUUUCACGGUCAAUAAAGGAUUUGCCGCGCCAGGUG